ACACUUGUAGCAGAAGGGCCAGGCACGGGCUCCUUGCCAGGUCCAGCUUCCAGGCUGACCUGCAACCCUGGAGGGAGAGGCUGACACGAGCUCCCCUUCUCUCUGUGUCUCUGCCUCUCUAUCUCCAUCUUUCUUUGUCUCUCUGUCUCAGACUCAACUUCUUUCUUUGUCUCUAUCUCUGUGUCUGUUUCUAUUUUCUGUCUCUAUCUCUCUUUCUGUCUCCUUGUUGUCUCUGCCUUUGUAUCUCUGUCUCUGACUCCAUGUCUCUGUCUUUGUCUGUUUUUCUGUCUGUGCCUUUUGCACCUUUCUGUCUGUGUCUGUCUCUGUCUCUCACUGUCUGUCUCUUUCUCUGUCCACUUUGGACACUAGCUAGAGGCAGGGGGCAGGACAAGGGACUUAAGCCCCACAGAGGAUAUCCUCUAUGGGCAGCUGAGUCCUUGGUCACCCCAGCUCUCAGCAGUCCUGCAAUGCUCUGAGGACCUCUAAUGCACUGACUGCACCCCAGCUCACAGCACCUUGAUCCCCUCUUCACCCCUGCCUGCCCAGCCUAGGGCCUACAGCCCCUUCUCAAAAUCACUGCCCACAAGCCCUCCAUGCCUCCUUUCCCUGCAUCUGCCCCUGCAGAGGACACAGCAGCCCAAAGUCUCACCCCCAACUCCACUCUCCUCUCCCAGGCCACAUCCUCAUGCCUCCAAAUGCACGGCUUUCUAAUACGAAUAUCUGAAGACUGAAGAAUGUGAAGUAAAUCACCCUGGUAUGAACAUACAACUGACUACACCUCUCUGGCCAAGGCAUGCUUCCUUCCCGGAUCCUUUCCUGGCUCAAGCAAUUUCCCCCAGACGACAAACUCCCCCAAGGGAAGACAGAGGGAACACGGCAGGGAGUGCAUGGACUCCUCUCGCCACGGCCUGCCAAGCAGCCAGGAUCACAGUCAUGCGACACCAUGCCAGGAUCAGAGAUAAUUUUAAAUAGGCUGGCAAGUUAAAGACACCUCUUCCUGGGGCAAUGAACAAUGAAGUGAAUCAAGGCUGCUGAUGGGGACACCCCAGCCAGACUGCCAAGACUCCUGUGCAGAGCCCCCAGGACACCACAUCGCUGAGCCCCACCACAGGCAGGGCACAGAUGCAGAAUCUACAUCACAUGUCAGACUGGGGACAUCCUGGAGAGACAUCUCAAGCCUACAGGAGAGGAGGACACAUUGCACAUGGUGAACCCACUCUCCAUCCUGGCAUACUGCUCCUAUGAACCCAGUGUUGGGGCUCAGAAAACAAGACCCCAAAAUGAGGGCCUCCCAAGCAGCCUCAGAAGCAAAAUUUUAUCUCUGACCUUCUCCUCCCCUCCUGUCUCUAGCCCCUCAUUCUCCUCCCAGGCUGACAUAGAAACUAGAAUCCGUCUUCCCCAAGGUGGGUCAUAGAAACCAGGACACCUUUUUCUCUAAAGCCAGCCAGAAAGCCUAAAAAUACGACUCCAAUUUUCUCUCCAUCUUUCUGUGUAAAACCUGGCCAUGAAGAAAUGAUCUGACCUACUUUGUUUGGUUGUAGAUCCAAGACCCCCAUUCCAGCAAGGGUCCUGCUUCUCACCCAGACGAAAAGGGCACUGCUCAGAAGGCCAAGAAGAAUCCAGACAGACAGGCCUAGCGGGGUGUCCCCACUCAGUCUGUUCUCACUAGAUCCAACCCUAUUUGCCCAAUCCUAUUUCCACACAGUUGUCCAUACUUUAUGGAACCUAAGCAUUAAAAUGGACAGCUUCUUCUGGGUCUUUGGGUCUUCAUUCUGAAGGAUCCAGUGUCUACACAUUCAAUAAAUUUGUCUGCCUUUCCUCC